rnacentral:rRNA from 1 species
AACGAACGCUGGCGGCAUGCCUAACACAUGCAAGUCGAACGGGACCUUCGGGGCUUGUGGCGCGCGGGUGCGUGAGGCAUGGGAACCUGCCCUUAGGUUCGGGAUAACUCCCCGAAAGGGGUGCUAAUACCGGAUACUGUCUUCGGACCAAAGAUUUAUCGCCUUUGGGUGGGCCCGCGUUGGAUUAGCUGGUUGGUAGGGUAAAAGCCUACCAAGGCGACGAUCCAUAGCUGGUCUGAGAGGAUGAUCAGCCACACUGGGACUGAGACACGGCCCAGACUCCUACGGGAGGCAGCAGUGGGGAAUAUUGGACAAUGGGCGAAAGCCUGAUCCAGCAAUGCCGCGUGAGUGAUGAAGGCCUUAGGGUUGUAAAGCCCUUUUAGCCGGGAUGAUAAUGACAGUACCGGGAGAAGAAGCCCCGGCUAACUCCGUG